UGUAGUCAUAUGCUUGUCUCAAAGAUUAAGCCAUGCAUGUCUAAGUAUAAGCAAUCUAUACUGUGAAACUGCGAAUGGCUCAUUAAAUCAGUUAUAGUUUAUUUGAUAGUACCUUUACCUGGAUAACCGUGGUAAUUCUAGAGCUAAUACAUGCCAAAAACCCCGACUCCGGAAGGGGUGUAUUUAUUAGAUAAAAAACCAAUGCCCUCCGGGGCUCCUUGGUGAUUCAUGAUAACUUAACGAAUCGCAUGGCCUUGCGCCGGCGAUGGUUCAUUCAAAUUUCUGCCCUAUCAACUUCGAUGUAGAUAGCA
rnacentral:rRNA from 1 species